CAACUCGGUUUAAGUGCCGAAAGAGAGGCAGCUGAGAAUGGUGUGUAUGGGUCCUCUUAUUGGUCACUAAGUUAAACAAACGGACAUUAUCUAAACUCUCAGAUUGUUUGUUGGAAUCAUGCAUGAUUCAUGUAUAUUGGUGGUAUACUUGCCUCUCAAAUAUGAUUUUUCUUGAUUGACCAAUCCGGAAAGGGCAGGUUCAGCGACUCUAGUUGUAGUUGAG
rnacentral:lncRNA from 1 species